UUAAGCUUCAUGUUUAUGUAAAAAAAUAAGAAUCCCUACUUUUUAAAAAGUGGGAGAAUACUCUUAUGAAUAGUGUCAUGACAUAUAAACCCUUAAAAUGUUUAUUUACCAUUAUACCCCCAUUAAUGUUAACUGUUUGUCUCUCUAUGCGUUAUCCCUGAUGUGAUUGACUAAUGUUUUUCCUCUUUCUUCCUCAUAAGCGUCACUUUCUCUCCUUCCUCCUCUACCUCUCUACUCUCUCUCUCCUCGAUUGAAGCAACUCCAUCGAAGUAGGUGAAGCAAACUAUUAGUUCUCCAUUGAAGCGCCUAUUGUGCUUUAUCUCCUCCAUCGAAGUAGUUUCUGAUUUUCACUUCAAUUUCUUUUUUUGCUCUAUUUGUUUAUUUAUUUUUUUUAUUUUUUAUUAUUGAAUAUCAAAUCAAUUGGACUGCUUUGCUUUUGCCUUUCAACCAUCCUAAUGGUGCUAGCAUCUGAUAGAAAUUCAUUCUACCCUGAUUGAAAGUUUUUCUUCUCACCUAUUAUAAUAAUUUCGGUUGAAAUUUGUGUUCAUUUCUAAUCUAUCUUGUUCUGCUUCGCUAAUUACUUUGGCCAUUUAUUUCAUUCUAGGUUUAUUCUCAUACUUUCUUGUUGGAUUUUUUUUUUGUUUAAUAUGACUUUUUGCUUGUAUUUUUUUAUUUUCUUUGUAACCUAAAAAUUUGGCCUAAUUUAGUGUCUAAAUUGAGCUCUAAUAUUGUAGCCGAUUUCGAAUUUUUGCUAACUUUACUCUAUAUCCUGUCAAUCACUGAAGUGUUGGAGUUGGCUGUAAACACAGCACAAAACAAGAUUGCAAUGAUGAAUGUGCAAAUAAGGCUAUUAUGUUGGAGUUCCCGGCAAGGAUAACAAAUUCGAGUGCUUAGAAGUGUCAAAAUAAUUAAUGGUUGCUUUGAGAGUUUGAGUCCACUAAAGGGAAUGAGCAUCAAAGGAAAACGUAGUCUCGCCCAAGGCCAGAUGUGAUUGAGAGGCUUAACAAUCUGAGAGGGAGAGGCAUGGCUUCAUUCAAUGUAUUCGUGGUCUUCUUAAAGGUAGUCAUACAUUAUCUUGUCAUCAUUAUUUUUUAAGGCUCAAUACGUAAUUCUUCUAAGAUGUCUAACACUUGCUGGACAUGAAUGUAGCAAGGUAGUGGUGGAAUCAUAGUUAGUGUUAUAAGUUUCAUACUAUUACUUUGGAUGCAUAGUAGUGUAGCUGAAGUAAAUGUAGCAAAAACUUGAAUGUUCUAUAUGAAGCCCAAGGAACUAAGGAACUCAAGUGUGGGUUGGUGAAUCGAUUGGGUUUCGUAUACUGCAAUUACUGAAAACUGAUGUCCAUGCUCAUGAUAUUAAAUUUACAAGGGUAUUGGUUCAUAUAAAAGUUCGUGAAAGUGAAAUCCGAAAGAUCAUAUGAGCAGCUCUAGCAAGGAGGGGGAAAAAAAAAAACUAGAAGCUAAGACAAAGGUUGGUCAAAUACAGCAACUAGAACUCGUGUCCAAGUGUAAAGCCACAUUUCUUGAUGUAUUGGAGGUGUGCUUGCAUCACACAGAAGAAGUCAGUUUCAACCGUUCAUUACAAUUACUGGUAUUGGCUUGUCAUGACUGUCUCAAGCAUUCUUCGAAUUGGCAUCUAUUAAUCUAAAGUUUUUAUCGACAUAAUGGACCCUGGUCAUAAUUGAAAGUUAAAAUCAUUGUAAUUAUAACACCAUACAUCUGUACAAGUAAUUAAACAAUUUCCUAUCUUUCAUACUUUUUCGUUAUAAUGCAAGCUUAUUUUUGUCGAUAA